UACGUAGCAGCAAGCGUUGUUCGGAAUUACUGGGCGUAAAGAGUGUGUAGGCGGUGCUCUAAGUUCGGUGUGAAAUCUCCCGGCUCAACUGGGAGGGUGCGCCGAAAACUGGGGUGCUGGAGCGCGGGAGAGGAAAGCGGAAUUCCUGGUGUAGCGGUGAAAUGCGUAGAUAUCAGGAGGAGCACCGGCGGUGUAGACGGCUUUCUGGACCGUAGCUGACGCUGAGACACGAAAGCGUGGGUAGCAAACAGG
rnacentral:rRNA from 1 species